UGGUUUUCAAACAUUACAAAAAUUGGCACAAAGAUUUAGUUCUAAAUCUCUCGAAGCUGCCCUUGAAAAAGGAAAAAGGUAUUUGAAAACAAGUUAUCAAACCAAUUGUAGUGUCAAUGACUCAAACAUUUCUUCUCAUAGCUCAAAACAUGCCUUAUCAGAUCCAUCUGAAAAAAAUCUUCAAUCCAACACAGAGAUAUCAGAUGUGCCGAUUGCUAUGAUUUGUGCAAAGCUAUCGAGAUGAUCAAAGAACUAACAAUUCAAAAUUCUGACGAUGCUGAUUCUAUUUAUGAUUUGGAAAUUGCUGUAAAGGAUGUAUUCAACUAUAUAAAACACCUGAUGAGAGAUUCUCAACAGAAAAAGGCAAAAUUCGAAGCUUUUAAGCAAUUAAACGAUGAAACUGCUUUCUGGCUUAAAGAUUUUUGUCAAAAAAUUCUUUCGGUUCGAUACAGAGAGGGCCAAAGAGAGUAUUUUGGCAAGAAAGGAAUGAGUUUACAUGUGGAUAUAUUCUUCAUAAAAAUAGCAGGAAAGUUAUUCAAACGUGUUUACUUUACUUCAAUGUAUAGGUGUGAUCAGAGAAUAGGUGAUGUUGUUUCGCUAGCCACUGCAGUUUUAGACCAAUUCAGAAUUGAUCAACCGCAUAUCAAGAAAAUGUUUACUAAAUCUGAUAAUGCCGGCUGCUAUCAGGGAAAUCUUUCAGCUGAAGCAAUCUACAAUGUAUGCAAAGAGAGAGAUAUAAAGUUGCUGAGAUAUGAUUAUAAUGAACCCUGUUGUGGAAAAGAUCAGUGUGACAGGGAGAGUGCAGUUGUAAAGACAAUUUUAAGAAGUUACGUUGACUCUGGUAAUAAUCUUUUGACUGCUGAAGAUAUACACAAGGCUAUGCAUUAUAGUUUUGGCGCUAAAGAUGCAAAAGUAGCAGUUGCUCAAAUUAGCAAUGAUAAAACUGUAGUUACUGGACCAAAGAUUAAGAACAUUAGCAACUAUCACUCAUUUGAGUUUGGUGAGAAAAGUAUGAAGAUGUGGCGUUAUUUCAAUAUCGGUGAGGGAAUUGAACAAGAGUAUGGAAAUCUUAAAAUUCAACCCUCGAUUAAGUUGUUGUUGCCAUAUAGCAAAACAGUUAAUUCAAUUAAGCGUAACAAGUCACUUAAGGAAAAACAGAAAAGAAGUGACAGGCAAUUAUGUUCAUUAAGAUUUUGCACUGAAAUGAAUUGUACUUUAUCAUUUGAAAGCGAUGCUGAGUUAGAAGAACACAUGCUAUCCGGUCUUCAUACAGUUCCGAAAUCAUUAACAUCAUUGGAUAAAGUUCUCAACUCGUUUGUUCAUAAGAUGAAAAUUACUUCACAACUAAAUAUGCCAAUUUCUUCAUCCUCUAACAGUGCUUCCGUAAAAGACAAACCACAUUGCAUGAACAUUUUUCUAUUGCAAGGUUGGGCAUUACCAGUUCGAAGUUCUUUUAGAUUUUCAAAUCAGCAGAAAGAACUGUUGUAUAAAUACUUUAUUCGUGGAGAAGAAUCAGGUAAUAAAAUGAGCCCUGAGCAGGUUCACAUGCAGCUGAGGAGAGAACUUCCGCCUGAUCAAUAUGUAACUGGCCAACAGAUAAGAUCAUUAUUUUCAAGAUUUAGUAACCUGAAAAGAAAAGGUAAGCUGGUAGAACCGACAACAGAAAAUAAUGAAAAUAGUCAGGUUAACGAUAACAAAGAAGUUUAUGGCGAAAAUGAUGACUUUAAUCUGACAGGAGACAAUGAAGAUGAUAAUAAAUAUGAGGAAGACAUCGCCAAUCUUGCAAAAGAAAUUUGUCUUGUAUGGAAAGUGAAUGAUUAGGUUGCUGUUGCAUAUGAAAAACAAUGGAAUAUUGGAUAUAUUGUGGAGAUAAUAUUAUUCAAAGUAUCUAUAACUGGGAUCAGAGUUAAUUGUAUGAUUAACGGGCAAGAGAAGAAUACUUUUCGCUGGCCAGUUACUACCAAGGAGAUAAAUAACCAAACUGAUAAAAUUAUCUGUUUAGUAAAUGCUCCUUUUCUAAUCAGUGGUUGUGGCGAUUAUUCAUUAUCCGAAGAAGACUAUAAUACAGUCAUAUCAUUAUUCUUAGAGAAACUUACUGCAGCAGAGUAGAAAUUAUGUGUGAUGUGGUGGAUAAUGUGUGUAAAUGACUCUAUUAAUAAAUGAAAAACUAAUUUUUAAAUGGAAAAACAUUUAAAUGUUUGA